rnacentral:tRNA from 2 species
GUAGCUCAGGGGUAGAGCACAACCUUGCCAAGGUUGGGGUCGUGGGUUCGAAUCCCAUCGCCCGCUCCAGAUUUU